rnacentral:lncRNA from 1 species
CCUCUCUUUCCACGUCUCCCUCUCAUGCGGAGCCAAAGCUGGACUGUACUGCUGCCAUCUCGGCUCACUGCAACCUCCCUGCCUGAUUCUCCUGCCUCAGCCUGCCGAGUGCCUGCGAUUGCAGGCACGCGCCGCCAUGCCUGACUGGUUUUGGUGGAGACAGGGUUUCGCUGUGUUGGCCGGGCCAGUCUCCAGCCCCUAACCGCGAGUGAUCCGCCAGCCUCGGCCUCCCGAGGUGCCGGGAUGGCAGACGGAGUCUUGUUCACUCAGUGCUCAAUGGUGCCCAGGCUGGAGUGCAGUGGCGUGAUCUCGGCUCGCUACAACCUACACCUCCCAGCCGUCUGCCUUGGCCUCCCAAAGUGCCGAGAUUGCAGCCUCUGCCCAGCCGCCACCCCGUCUGGGAAGUGAGGAGUGUCUCUGCCUGGCCGCCCAUCGUCUGGGAUGUGAGGAGCCCCUCUGCCUGGCUGCCCAGUCUGGAAAGUGAGGAGCGUCUCCGCCCGGCCGCCAUCCCAUCUAGGAAGUGAGGAGCGCCUCUUCCCGGCCGCCAUCACAUCUACGAAGUGAGGAGCGUCUCUGCCCGGCCGCCCAUCGUCUGAGAUGUGGGGAGCGCCUCUGCCCCGCCGCCCCAUCUGGGAUGUGAGGAGCGUCUCUGCCCGGCCGCCCAGUCUGAGAAGUGAGGAGACCCUCUGCCUGGCAACCACCCCGUCUGAGAAGUGAGGAGACCCUCCGCCCGGCAGCUGCCCCGUCUGAGAAGUGAGGAGCCUCUCCGCCCAGCAGCCACCCCAUCUGGGAAGUGAGGAGCGUCUCCGCCCGGCAGUCACCCCGUCCGGGAGGGAGGUGGGGGGGGGUCAGCCCCCCGCCCGGCCAGCCGCCCCAUCCGGGAGGGAGGUGGGGGUUCAGCCCCCCGCCCGGCCAGCCGCCCCGUCCGGGAGGUGAGGGGCGCCUCUGCCCGGCCGCCCCUACUGGGAAGUGAAGAGCCCCUCUGCCCGGCCAGCCGCCCCGACCGUGAGGGAGGUGGGGGGGUCAGCCCCCUGCCCAGCCAGCCACCCCGUCUGGGAGGUGUGCCCAACAGCUCAUUGAGAAUGGGCCAGGAUGACAAUGGCGGCUUUGUGGAAUAGAAAGGGGGGAAAGGUGGGGAAAAGAUUGAGAAAUCGGAUGGUUGCCGUGUCUGUGUAGAAAGAAGUAGACAUGGGAGACUUUUCAUUUUGUUCUGCACUAAGAAAAAUUCUUCUCCCUUGGGAUCCUGUUGAUCUGUGACCUUACCCCCAACCCUGUGCUCUCUGAAACAUGUGCUGUGUCCACUCAGGGUUAAAUGGAUUAAGGGCGGUGCAAGAUGUGCUUUGUUAAACAGAUGCCUGAAGGCAGCAUGCUCGUUAAGAGUCAUCACCAAUCCCUAAUCUCAAGUAAUCAGGGACACAAACACUGCAGAAGGCCGCAGGGUCCUCUGCCUAGGAAAACCAGAGACCUUUGUUCACUUGUUUAUCUGCUGACCUUCCCUCCACUAUUGUCCCAUGACCCUGCCAAAUCCCCCUCUGUGAGAAACACCCAAUAAUUAUCAAUAAAAAAAUAAAUUUAAAAAAAAAAAAAGAAAGUGGUGUAAGGAGUAUGAAUAAUAUAUCAAGAAGUACAGAGCAGAAUGUGAUUAAUUCUUCCUGGGAGAAGAGUUCCAGGGAGCCUCCAAAGGUGGCAGAUCAACAGUGAUAGAUGGUGAGCUUGCAGUCAGCCAUAAAAAGCAGAGGAGAUCAUGUGUAGGCAAAACAAGGAAUAUUUUAAACAGAAGCACAAAGACCUGAAAAACUAGGGCACGUCUGCUGAACCAUAAACACGUCAGUAAUGCCAGAGAAUAGAAGUGCAUGAGGUAGAGUGAGAGGAGGUGACAUCAGAGGAUUAGAUUAGGGCCAGACUAAAAAGACGGGUCAAGUAAGGACUUCGCCAUGAAGGUAAUCCUAGGAGAUGUUGAACAGGGCAGAAAUAUCAUCCAAUUUGUUUAAAAAAGAGAGCCAUUACAACAAUAUGAACUCUUAGUGAAGAUACUGGUGUCAAGAUAUCAAACAGGGAUCUAUUCCGACAGCCCAGGUACAUAGUGAUAAGGGCCUGAUAACAGCAGUGGAUCUCGACAGAAAAAAAAAAGGCAGAUUUGGGAGUUAAUUCAUAUAUUAUAGAAACAGCAGGAUUUUCUGAGCACCUAAAUAUAAGGGGAAGAAAGCUGCUUCUCCAAGGUUUGAGGAUUAGAUGGUGAAGAAUGCUUACAGAACCCAAAAUGAUUGGGUCCCAGGCUAUCAUUGACUUCACUUCACAUACCAUUACUGUCCAGCCAUACUGGCCUUAUUUUAUUCUCUCAAAUAUAUCAACUUUUUUUUCUCUCAAGGCUUCUGCAAUAGUUGUUUUCUCUGCUUUGAAUAAAAAAGUGAUGAAUUCAUUUAUAUUAUGGAGAGUUUUAAUGUCAAAGAGAUCUCUAGGUACAAAAGUCUACAGAGUAAUUAGGCAUGAAGAGAGCAGAGUCAACCCAGAAUGAACUAAGAAUCAGCAAACAUAACCAACAGUCCUUGCCAUGAGAGUGGAUGAGAUAACCUAAAAACCCAAUAACAAAAAAUUAUCCCCUGUUCAUGAACUGGAAGAUUUAAUAUUGUUAAUAUACCAAUACAACCCAAAGUGACUUACAGAUUCAAUGCAAUCUCUAUCAAAAUCCC